rnacentral:tRNA from 1 species
GCCCGCAUAGCAUAGUGGUAGUGCAAUGGUUUGGAGUACCAUGCCUUUCGGGGCUCCCAGGUUCGAUUCCUGGUGCGGGCG